rnacentral:lncRNA from 1 species
CCAUGCUAUAGCGCACACAUAGUAUGAGAGAAAAGAAGAAAGGGGGAGAAGGGCCAUAGGCUUUUGAGAGAGCCUAGAAUCAGAGCCUGAGUCAGAAUUGUAGGAAAUGAUGGAACUGAGAGAGCUAACCCAGCCCCCUCACUUUAAAGUAUUGUAGCAACGAUGCCUGCCUUGUUCUGAGAAAAUGGUAAGAUAACAGCUUGAGCAGAGAAUACCUACUGAUAGGUGACAGGAAUGAAAGGUGAUUAGGAAUUAUCACAGCCAUUCCCUUUUUUAGAGGCAGAUAAAAUAGCAUGCUUGUUCAAAGAAUUAUGUGUGCUUGUCUUGCCAUCCCUAAGAAACUAUGGGAACAGAUGUGUACUCUUUUUAAUUCAGAUUUCAUUAUCCACAGUAAGUAGAUUUCCACUGACUAUUUGAGAUUUCCUAGACGGCAAUUUUCACUCUGCAAGGAACCAAUAACCUUCAGAGGGAUUAUUUGAAAUGACUGC